UACAGAGGUCCCAAGCGUUGUCCGGAUUCAUUGGGCGUAAAGAGCGUGUAGGCGGCCAGGUAGGUCGGUUGUGAAAACUGGAGGCUCAACCUUCAGACGUCGACCGAAACCAUCUGGCUAGAGUCCGGGAGAGGAGAGUGGAAUUCCUGGUGUAGCGGUGAAAUGCGCAGAUAUCAGGAAGAACACCCGUGGCGAAAGCGGCUCUCUGGAACGGUACUGACGCUGAGACGCGAAAGCGUGGGGAGCGAACAGG
rnacentral:rRNA from 1 species